GACGAACGCUGGCGGCGUGCUUAACACAUGCAAGUCGAACGGAAAGGCCCUGCUUUUGUGGGGUGCUCGAGUGGCGAACGGGUGAGUAACACGUGAGUAACCUGCCCUUGACUUUGGGAUAACUUCAGGAAACUGGGGCUAAUACCGGAUAGGAGCUCCUGCUGCAUGGUGGGGGUUGGAAAGUUUCGGCGGUUGGGGAUGGACUCGCGGCUGAUCAGCUUGUUGGUGGGGUAGUGGCUUACCAAGGCUUUGACGGAUAGCCGGCCUGAGAGGGUGACCGGCCACAUUGGGACUGAGAUACGGCCCAGACUCCUACGGGAGGCAGCAGUGGGGAAUAUUGCACAAUGGGCGGAAGCCUGAUGCAGCAACGCCGCGUGCGGGAUGACGGCCUUCGGGUUGUAAACCGCUUUCGCCUGUGACGAAGCGUGAGUGACGGUAAUGGGUAAAGAAGCACCGGCUAACUACGUG
rnacentral:rRNA from 1 species